rnacentral:rRNA from 1 species
AGUGAACGCUGGCGGUAGGCCUAACACAUGCCAGUCGAACGGCAGCACAGUAAGAGCUUGCUCUUACGGGUGGCGAGUGGCGGACGGGUGAGGAAUACAUCGGAAUCUACUUUUUCGUGGGGGAUAACGUAGGGAAACUUACGCUAAUACCGCAUACGACCUACGGGUGAAAGCAGGGGAUCUUCGGACCUUGCGCGAUUGAAUUAGCCGAUGUCGGAUUAGCUAGUUGGCGGGGUAAAGGCCCACCAAGGGGACGAUCCGUAGCUGGUCUGAGAGGAUGAUCCGCCACACUGGAGCUGAGACGCGGUCCAGACUCUUAGGGGAGGCAGGAGUGGGGAAUAUUGGCAAAAGGGCGCAAGCCUGAUCCAGCCAUACCGCGUGGGUGAAGAAGGCCUUCGGGUUGUAAAGCCCCUUUGUUGGGAAAGAAAAGCAGCAGGUUAAUACCCCGCUGUUCUGACGGUACCCAAAGAAUAAGCACCGGCUAACUUCGU